rnacentral:sRNA from 1 species
GCCAGGCGUGGUGGCGCACACCUGUGGUCCUAGCUACAUGGGAGGCUGAAGCAGGAGGAUCGCUUGAACCCAGGAGGUCAAGGCUGCAUGUUUGCACCACUGCACUCCAACCUAGUCAACAGAGUGAGACCCUCUCUCAAAAAAAAAAAAAAAAUGGUCCUAGUGUGGUGGCAUGGGCCUAUAGCAAGGGGAUUACUUGAGCCCAGGAGUUCAAGGCUGCAGUGAGCUAUGAUCACAGCACUGUACUCCAGCCUGGGUGACAGAGUGAGACCCUGUCUCU